CAGAUUUAUUUUCUCUUUCUUCUCUUCCUUAUUCCAGUCUCGGUUUUACAGAGUGCGAGGAAGAGAAAAUUCUAGAAGCUGUGUGCGAUCUGAUAUCCGUUUCCUCUGCCAUCUCCGACCUCUUCUCUUCCUUCUUUAUUCUUUGCUGUCGCCGAUGAGAGAGCUGAGAUGCCGUGCGUUCGCCGUUGCUGGUCCACCAUUCUCACAGCCCGUGUCUGCUCUGCUUCUUGAUCCUGAACAUCUUUAUUCCUCCGUUCUUUCCGCUCGUGAAUGAUAAGCAAGGAAAAGAGCUGAUUUGAAGUUGUAAGAGAACUGAUUUAUGGGUUGGAGGUUGAAUUGAUGAUGUCUUCUUCUUCCCCUCUUCAGUGGUAGGUUCUGCUCUUCUCUUCCCUGAGCGUGUGUCAUCGGCCACUUGAGGUGAGAAGCAUUUUUCCUUCUUUCUUCUGCCAGCUGUGAAUCAUAUAGAGCUGGGAAAUUGAUUUUCUUUAGGUAUAAAAAACGUAAUUGUGUUAAAGCACUAAAAUCUGGAAAGCUGAAUUGUUUUAAAUAUGGAUAUUAGGAAGUUUGGGGAAUGAAAUUUGAAGAAAGAAAGUUUGGUAGUAGUCAAGAAAUUCAUGCGUGCAAGAUGCUCGAUGAAAUGCUUAAGAGAUAUUUUAGCUAACGCUGCUGACCCCUGAGGACUUUUAGACGUGCUAGGUGAAAAAUUUAUUGAGAUCCCUCCUUUUGAUGUAAUUACAAACACUUAUGUAUUUUAUUUUAGAAAUUAUGAUUAGAUGCUCAACGUUGCCAAUAGCUAGGUUUCUAUUUUAAUAUAUGUUGUCUGUUAAUUAGAAA